AAAACCUUCUCCCGGGAUCAGGCGCAUCGACACCCCCAGGCCAGGGGCACCUCUGGUGGGGCAGAAGGUGAAUGAAUUACUCAAAUAUGAAGAUCAUCUUCUAGGUUUUGUGUAGAAGGCCCCGGAUAUUUUAAGUGGCCCUUUUGGAUUUACAAUGUUUUUGGAUAAUUUUGCCCCAGAAGUUUAUUAAAAUUGGCAAGGAUCGUCUAUGAAGUGAAUUGAUAGUAGUGAACAAUUCAGCAAGCUACUUAAAAAGAGACCCAGGCAGCAUUUCUUCAGUAUUUUGGUUCAAACGGAUUAUAUAACUGGUUACAGUAUUUCAGCUGGUGGUAAUUUUGCCUUCCCCCUCCCCCACCGCAUUGUUGGGGUUCUUCAGCCGAAACUGUGAGAGACGUUGAUUUGUGUACUGAGUAGUUUCAGCAGUUUCAAAUGACUGAGUAUUGCUGAAGUUUCAUGGCGGUUUAUUUUUACCUUUAUUGAAAGUUUUAGGAAUUUUUGACUUCAGCUCUUUCAUGUCACAAUGGGACACUUUUUCUAAAUGAAGACAUUGAAAGAAUACCGAAGAUUUUUCCUUUUAUCUUUUAUUUACGUAGAAAUUUAAGAUGUUGCAAUUUCCCGGCAGCAUGGUAGUAUUGAGAUAGCUGUGUGUGUCUCUGUAUAUGCUGAUAUUUAGGAAUGCUCUUCAGAUGUGAAAUUUUCUUUUUGUUUUUGCUUUUUGGGUCGUAAAUUGGAUAUUUCAUCUGGAGUGGACAAGUACAACAGUGGCAAGUACAUGGAAUAAUAAAGAAGACUGAUCUUAAAUCUAAAGAACUUGCCUAAUUCAGGAGAUAGCCAUAUGAAAACUUUAAAACAGAAGUAUGGGUAGCUGACUUGAAGUAACUCUAUGUCAAAUAGUCACAGGUUAAGUAUCUUCAAAGAACCUCGAUAUUAUUUCAGAGGAUACAAAAUAAAAAUACAAACUGGAAAACAAAGAUUACAAAGAAAAAACCAACACCUUCCUGUGCAGUCCUGUUGGAAUUUGGACUUGCCAUGAGGUGUUGAAGCCUUGUUUCACUGAGUUGGAGAGACUGGACCUAAAUGGCGCAGCAUGACUUUGCUCCAGCCUGGCUUAAUUUCCCUACUCCACCAUCAUCAACAAAGUCGUCAUUGAAUUUUGAGAAGCAUUCUGAAAACUUUGCAUGGACAGAGAAUCAUUAUGAUGUGAAUCGUCGACGACACAACUCUUCAGAUGGCUUUGAUUCUGCUGUUGGACGUCCUAAUGGAGGUAACUUUGGAAGGAAAGAAAAAAAUGGAUGGCGUACACAUGGAAGAAAUGGUACAGAAAACAUAAAUCAUCGAGGUGGAUACCAUGGUGGAAGUUCCCGUUCUUGUAGCAGUAUUUUCCAUUCUGGAAAAAGCCAAGGACUACAUGAAAACAACAUACCUGACAAUGAAACUGGGAGGAAAGAGGACAAGAGAGAACGUAAACAGUUUGAAGCUGAGGAUUUUCCAUCUUUAAAUCCUGAAUAUGAGAGAGAACCAAACCACAAUAAAUCUUUAGCUGCAGGUGUGUGGGAAUACCCUCCGAAUCCUAAAUCUAGAGCUCCAAGGAUGCUGGUCAUUAAGAAAGGUAAUACAAAAGACUUACAACUAUCUGGAUUCCCAGUAGUAGGAAAUCUUCCGUCGCAGCCAGUUAAGAAUGGAACUGGUCCAAGUGUUUAUAAAGGUUUAGUCCCUAAACCUGCUGCUCCACCUACAAAACCUACACAAUGGAAAAGCCAAACAAAAGAAAAUAAAGUUGGAACUUCUUUCCCUCAUGAGUCCACAUAUGGUGUUGGCAACUUUAAUGCUUUUAAAUCAACUGCCAAGAAUUUUAGUCCAUCAACAAAUUCAGUGAAAGAGUGUAAUCGCUCAAAUUCCUCUUCUCCUGUUGACAAACUUAAUCAGCAGCCUCGUCUAACCAAACUGACACGAAUGCGCACUGAUAAGAAGAGUGAAGUUUUGAAAGCAUUGAAAAGAGACAGAGUAGAAGAGGAACAUGAAGAUGAAAGCCGUGCUGGCUCAGAGAAGGAUGACGACUCAUUUAAUUUACAUAACAGCAAUAGUACUCACCAAGAAAGGGAUAUAAACCGAAACUUCGAUGAAAAUGAAAUUCCUCAAGAGAAUGGCAAUGCCUCGGUGAUUUCCCAGCAGAUCAUUCGGUCUUCAACCUUCCCACAAACUGAUGUUCUUUCAAGUUCACUUGAGGCAGAACACAGAAUGUUAAAGGAAAUGGGCUGGCAGGAAGACAGUGAAAAUGAUGAAACAUGUGCUCCCUUAACUGAGGAUGAAAUGAGAGAAUUCCAAGUUAUUAGUGAACAGUUACAGAAGAAUGGUCUGAGAAAAAAUGGUAUUUUGAAAAACGGCCUGAUCUGUGACUUCAAGUUUGGAUCUUGGAAGAACAGCACUUUCAAACCCACAACUGAGAAUGAUGACACAGAGACAAGUAGCAGUGACACAUCAGAUGACGACGAUGUGUGAAGGAUUUCCUAACAGCUUCAGAAAUCUUAGUGUGAUACAUCUCUCAUACAGUUUGGGGUGAAUUGUAAAAAUGAAGAACUAUAAUUUAUGUAGUGAAAUACCCCAUUUAGAAGAGGAUUUUUUGGGGGACUUCAAUACGAAGAAAACCAAGAAUGUUUUGUUGGGCUGUGUUGAACAUUAUUUCUUUGUAAAUGAAUGUUGUAGGAAUGAGGACUUGGGUUGGUCCAACAUUGACUUUCUUCAUCACUGCAGCAUUUCUCUGACUAGCAAUGUGACGAUGUAACAAAUGAGAUUUUCUCAUUUAAUAAUAAAAAAUUGUGUAAUGUUUUGCAAAA